rnacentral:tmRNA from 2 species
GGGGACGUUACGGAUUCGACAGGGGUAGUUCGAGCUUAGGCUGCGGGCCAGAGGGUCGGCUCUGUCAAAACGCACUUGCCUAUAAUAACUGGCAAACAACAACCACAACUACAAGCUGCCUAAUUAAAUUUAGGUUAGCCUGUGCUCCCUCCGCUGUUGUCCGUGCAGUCGGGUACGGGGCUCACUCUUAACGGACUACGCUUGAUUCCUCCGCCUGGGGAUGAGAGAAGAGACCAAUCAGGCUGGCCGGUUGAAACGCCUGCUGUACGGCAGUUCAUCCGGCGAGACUUAAGUAGUGCAGCUACGCCCGUAGACGCUUAAGUGCCGUUGCCUUUGGACGCGGGUUCGACUCCCGCCGUCUCCAUAU